rnacentral:rRNA from 1 species
UACAGAGGGUGCGAGCGUUAAUCGGAAUUACUGGGCGUAAAGCGUGCGUAGACGGUUAUUUAAGUCGGGUGUGAAAGCCCCGGGCUCAACCUGGGAACUGCGUCCGAUACUGGAUGGCUUGAAUCCGGGAGAGGGAUGCAGAAUUCCAGGUGUAGCGGUGAAAUGCGUAGAUAUCUGGAGGAAUACCGGUGGCGAAGGCGGCAUCCUGGACCGGCAUUGACGCUGAGGAGCGAAAGCCAGGGGAGCAAACGGG